rnacentral:rRNA from 1 species
AACGCUGGCGGCGUGCCUAAUACAUGCAAGUCGAACGGUCUUUUCAUGGAAGCGUUGCUUCCGCUGAGAAGAUAGUGGCGAACGGGUGAGUAACACGUGGGUAACCUGCCCAUAAGAGGGGGAUAACAUCCGGAAACGGGUGCUAAUACCGCAUAGUUUCUUGAUCGCAUGAUCGGGAAGGAAAGACGGCCUUUGUGCUGUCGCUUAUGGAUGGACCCGCGGCGUAUUAGUUAGUUGGUGAGGUAACGGCUCACCAAGACGAUGAUACGUAGCCGACCUGAGAGGGUGAUCGGCCACAUUGGGACUGAGACACGGCCCAAACUCCUACGGGAGGCAGCAGUAGGGAAUCUUCCGCAAUGGACGAAAGUCUGACGGAGCAACGCCGCGUGAGUGAAGAAGGUUUUCGGAUCGUAAAACUCUGUUGUCAGAGAAGAACAAGUUGGAGAGUAACUGCUCCAGCCUUGACGGUAUCUGACCAGAAAGCCACGGCUAACUACGUG